GCAGUCGAACGAUGAAGCCUUUCGGGGUGGAUUAGUGGCGAACGGGUGAGUAACACGUGGGCAAUCUGCCCUUCACUCUGGGACAAGCCCUGGAAACGGGGUCUAAUACCGGAUAAUACUUUCUCCUGCAUGGGAGAGGGUUGAAAGCUCCGGCGGUGAAGGAUGAGCCCGCGGCCUAUCAGCUUGUUGGUGGGGUGAUGGCCUACCAAGGCGACGACGGGUAGCCGGCCUGAGAGGGCGACCGGCCACACUGGGACUGAGACACGGCCCAGACUCCUACGGGAGGCAGCAGUGGGGAAUAUUGCACAAUGGGCGAAAGCCUGAUGCAGCGACGCCGCGUGAGGGAUGACGGCCUUCGGGUUGUAAACCUCUUUCAGCAGGGAAGAAGCGAGAGUGACGGUACCUGCAGAAGAAGCGCCGGCUAACUACGUGCCAGCAGCCGCGGUAAUACGUAGGGCGCAAGCGUUGUCCGGAAUUAUUGGGCGUAAAGAGCUCGUAGGCGGCUUGUCGCGUCGGAUGUGAAAGCCCGGGGCUUAACCCCGGGUCUGCAUUCGAUACGGGCAGGCUAGAGUGUGGUAGGGGAGAUCGGAAUUCCUGGUGUAGCGGUGAAAUGCGCAGAUAUCAGGAGGAACACCGGUGGCGAAGGCGGAUCUCUGGGCCAUUACUGACGCUGAGGAGCGAAAGCGU
rnacentral:rRNA from 1 species